GACGAACGCUUGCGGCGUGCUUAACACAUGCAAGUCGAACGGAAAGGCCCUGCUUUUGUGGGGUGCUCGAGUGGCGAACGGGUGAGUAACACGUGAGUAACCUGCCCUUGACUUUGGGAUAACUUCAGGAAACUGGGGCUAAUACCGGAUAGGAGCUCCUGCUGCAUGGUGGGGGUUGGAAAGUUUCGGCGGUUGGGGAUGGACUCGCGGCUUAUCAGCUUGUUGGUGGGGUAGUGGCUUACCAAGGCUUUGACGGGUAGCCGGCCUGAGAGGGUGACCGGCCACAUUGGGACUGAGAUACGGCCCAGACUCCUACGGGAGGCAGCAGUGGGGAAUAUUGCACAAUGGGCGGAAGCCUGAUGCAGCAACGCCGCGUGCGGGAUGACGGCCUUCGGGUUGUAAACCGCUUUCGCCUGUGACGAAGCGUGAGUGACGGUAAUGGGUAAAGAAGCACCGGCUAACUACGUGCCAGCAGCCGCGGUGAUACGUAGGGUGCGAGCGUUGUCCGGAUUUAUUGGGCGUAAAGGGCUCGUAGGUGGUUGAUCGCGUCGGAAGUGUAAUCUUGGGGCUUAACCCUGAGCGUGCUUUCGAUACGGGUUGACUUGAGGAAGGUAGGGGAGAAUGGAAUUCCUGGUGGAGCGGUGGAAUGCGCAGAUAUCAGGAGGAACACCAGUGGCGAAGGCGGUUCUCUGGGCCUUUCCUGACGCUGAGGAGCGAAAGCGUGGGGAGCGAACAGGCUUAGAUACCCUGGUAGUCCACGCUGUAAACGGUGGGUACUAGGUGUGGGGUCCAUUCCACGGGUUCCGUGCCGUAGCUAACGCUUUAAGUACCCCGCCUGGGGAGUACGGCCGCAAGGCUAAAACUCAAAGGAAUUGACGGGGCCCCGCACAAGCGGCGGAGCAUGCGGAUUAAUUCGAUGCAACGCGUAGAACCUUACCUGGGUUUGACAUGGAUCGGGAGUGCUCAGAGAUGGGUGUGCCUCUUUUGGGGUCGGUUCACAGGUGGUGCAUGCCUGUCGUCAGCUCGUGUCGUGAGAUGUUGGGUUAAGUCCCGCAACGAGCGCAACCCUUGUUCACUGUUGCCAGCACGUUAUGGUGGGGACUCAGUGGAGACCGCCGGGGUCAACUCGGAGGAAGGUGGGGAUGACGUCAAGUCCUCAUGCCCCUUAUGUCCAGGGCUUCACGCAUGCUACAAUGGCUGGUACAGAGAGUGGCGAGCCUGUGAGGGUGAGCGAAAAAUCGGAAAGCCGGUCUCAGUUCGGAUUGGGGUCUGCAACUCGACCUCAUGAAGUCGGAGUCGCUAGUAAUCGCAGGUCAGCAACCCUGCGGUGAAUACGUUCCCGGGG
rnacentral:rRNA from 1 species